rnacentral:rRNA from 1 species
UACGUAGGGGGCAAGCGUUGUCCGGAUUUAUUGGGCGUAAAGAGCGUGUAGGCGGCCAAGCAGGUCAGCUGUGAAAACUCGAGGCUCAACCUCGAGACGUCGGUUGAAACCGCUUGGCUAGAGUCCGGAAGAGGAGAGUGGAAUUCCUGGUGUAGCGGUGAAAUGCGCAGAUAUCAGGAAGAACACCCGUGGCUAAGGCGGCUCUCUAGUACGGUACUGACGCUGAGACGCGAAAGCGUGGGGAGCGAACAGG